rnacentral:lncRNA from 10 species
CUCCCCUAUCUAUUUGCUUUUGGUUUUGUUGGGUUUUUUUGGGGGACAGUCCAGCGGGCCCUUCGUCAUAUUUUUCUGUCCCAGUAGACUUUCUUCUGUUUUGGCCAAGUAACAGCAUAACAACAAGGAACAACAGAUUCAUUUCUAAGAAGAGCCAGGCAACGCUCCAGGACCGUCAGAGCCUAGCCCAGGGUGGGAAUCUCCAAUGCCUGGAGGAGCCAGAAAACGUACAAUGUGGCCACAGGCCUGCUUUUCCAAACUCGUCAUGGUUACCAUUUCAUGAACGGCUUCAAGUCCAGAAUGAGUAGAAUCCUGUUUCCUUCUGAAGCCCUUCCUAAUUGAUAUACUUAGGGCCAUCUUCCUUAACACCCCAGACCUGCUGGUUUCGGAGCCAUCGACCUCCUCAUUUCCACCGCAGAGGGCUGGAGGAGAUUCAGAAAAUCAGGGCAGGGCCCAGGAGAAGGUUCUUUCAGAGCAUGGCUUCAGCCUGGUUACUUCUGACACCAGCCAGGAGGAACAGACUUCUUCCCCAUACAGCAGGUACCACCAGAAGUACCUGAGCAAGAUCACCCUCAGCUCCUGCAGCCUCAGGGCACCGGAGUGUCCUGUCCACGGGGCAUUUGUUACGGACAAAGAUUUGUGUGGCCUUUCACUUUGCACGCUGAAGCUUAACCCUGGCUGCAACGGGACGGGGGGCCACCAAGGAAGUCAUUAAGGUUAACUAAGGUAUAGGGUGGUGCCCUGGUUGACAGGAUGGUGGCCUUAUGAGGACACUUACAAGAUGGACGCCCACUUGUCCCCCGACCCCUCUGGCACAGGAACUGAGGAAGAGUCACAAGAGGACACAGCAGAUGUUGGUCACCUGCAGGCUAGGAAGAAAGCCCUCCCCAGGAACCUGGGUCUUGGGGACUUCCAGCCUCCACUGUGGGAAAGAAAUGCGUGUUGAUCAGUCCACCCAGUCUAUGGUGUUUUGUAACGGUGGCCAGAGCAGACAAAGACAGUAUGAAAACAUAACUUCUCCCCACACGCUGAAGUUAUAACAGCAAUGCUUUCAACAAAUUGGGCAACGCUUUUGUGGUUCCCACUGGGCGAGUGUUGAAGCUUACAAAACACAAAGGCAUUUUUGAACGUCUGGUCUUUGAGGUAUAAUUUCUAUUCAGCAAAUUCACCACUUCAGGAUGGAUGGUUCUGUGAAUUCUGAUGAAUGUAAAUGGCUGUGACCAGACAUAGAACUUUGGCCGAAUGUGGUGCCUCAUGCCUGUAAUCCCAGCACUUUGGGAGGCUGAGGUGGGCGGAUCACCUGAGGUCAGGAGUUCAAGACCAGCCUGACCAACAUGGUGAAAACCCGUCUCUACUAAAAAUACAAAAAUUAGCUGGGCGGGGAGGCAUGUGCCUGUAAUCUCAGUUAUUCAAGAGGCUGAGGCUGGAGAAUUGCUUGAACCUGGGAGGUGCAGGUUGCAGUGAGCUGAGAUCACACCAUUGCUCUCCAGCCUGGACGACAAGAGUGAAACUCUGUUUCACAAAAAGAAAAGAAAAAGACAAGACAUACAACAUUUUCAUCACCCCAAAACAUUCCCCUGUGCUUCUUAGUAAUCCAUCCUCUUCCUGGAACCCCAAACCUGGGCAACAACUCAUGCGUUCUCUGUGCUUGGAGUUUUGCCUUUCCCAGAAUGCCAUGGAAUCAUACGGUGUGCAGCGGCUCGUGUCUGGCUUCUCCAGCUCGGUGCGAUGCUCCUGAGAUCCGAGUUGUUGUGCGUGUCAGUCGGCUGCUCCUCUUCGCUGCUGUGUAGCACCGCUGUUGUGUGAAUGCACCGCAGUUUGUUCAUCGCUUCCUCUGACGAUGGACAUUUAGGUUGUUACCAGUUUUUAGCAAUUAAAAAGAAAGCCACCAUAAACACUGGGUACUGGUUUUCACGUGGACGUAUGUUUCUGUGCAGUCCUGUUUUGAUUAAAAUGUGAACUCGUCUACUGCCGUGGUAGGCAAUUUUUGGAUGACUUGGGGCCUAAAUGAAGAGAAUGCAGGCGCUUGCUGUGUUCUCCCUUUCUGUAGUCUGGGACUGCCAUGGAAGUCGUGUGGUUUCUUUGGGCAGGAUGGUGGGUAAUGCGGGAAUUCUUUUAUCUAUGCCCUGUUCCAUCUCAUAUGCAUGUCCCCUCCAGUGCCCAAAAGUUUGCAAACACUUAGAGCAGCGAUCAGAUGUUUUGCUCUACUGACCCCAAAUAAAUACAUGCUGUUUGCAAAGAACAGAGGCAAGGAGGCUUUCUCUCCCAUUUCACGACCCCGCUUGGCAGAGAAAAGAAAAGCAUUAGGUUGCUGAAUUCUAAUGCUUUGCU